rnacentral:rRNA from 1 species
AUUGAACGCUGGCGGCAUGCCUUACACAUGCAAGUUGAACGGCAGCGCGGACUUCGGUCUGGCGGCGAGUGGCGAACGGGUGAGUAAUACAUCGGAACGUACCCUGUUGUGGGGGACAACUAGUCGAAAGAUUAGCUAAUACCGCAUACGACCUGAGGGUGAAAGUGGGGGACCGCAAGGCCUCACGCAGCAGGAGCGGCCGAUGUCUGAUUAGCUAGUUGGUGGGGUAAAGGCCCACCAAGGCGACGAUCAGUAGCUGGUCUGAGAGGACGAUCAGGCACACUGGGACUGAGACACGGCCCAGAGUCCUACGGGAGGCAGCAGUGGGGAAUUUUGGACAAUGGGGGCAACCCUGAUCCAGCCAUGCCGCGUGAGUGAAGAAGGCCUUCGGGUUGUAAAGCUCUUUCGGACGGGAAGAAAUCGCAUCGGCUAAUACCUGGUGCGGAUGACGGUACCGUAAUAAGAAGCACCGGCUAACUACGUGCCAGCCGCCGCCGUAA